UCGGCUGCAGGGCGCCUGGAUGCUCAGCAUGCGGCGGUGCUCAUGAGGAGCCAGCCCUGGGGCUGCUGCCUCUGGACCAUGGGAGCAGCCUCUGCCCGCGGCCGCACUAUUUGCCGCCUGACACCAGCGUAUUGCUGCAUCAGAUUGAUGUUCUUAAGGACCCUGCCAUCAGGAAUGUAAUUGUGCUACAAACAGUUCUCCAGGAAGUGAGAAAUUGGAGUGCACCUGUUUAUAAAUGAAUCCGAGAUGUAACUAAUAACCAAGAGAAGCAUUUCAAUACAUUCACCAGUGAGCAUCAUAGAGAAACUUAUGUAGAACAAGAACAAGGAGAAAAUGCUAAUGACAAGGAUGAUAGAGACAUUCGAGUAGUUGCAAAGUGGUACAAUAAACAUUUGA